CUUGGUUAUCACCAGUUGAGCCAGGCCUGUCGCUCCCUCCUCCGUGCUGGGAUACCAGCUCGUGCCAGCACGCCUCGCUUUUACUCCUGCUCAGGUACUCAUACUGCCAUGGCAGCAGUGGACAAGAUCCCUUCAGGAAUGGAGGACUGCUUUAUGCAGAAGGCAAAAUGCUCUUUAAUUUGGUGUUGAAAUGAAGCCUGGAUGUUGGAGACAGUGGACUAUAUGAUCCUGCAGGUGUUACACUCCCUCCAAAAAUUGAGAAAAUAUAACAUCGGCUGGGGUGAAGUGUCUAUCCUCCAGCAAUUUCAUGUCCCCAGGCACCUCUUACUUGAAAAUCCCAAUUUCCAUGAACGUUUUAGGAGGUAUCAAGCCACCUAAAGUCACAUGGGAACAGGAGGUCAAGAUAUACCUUCUUGGAAACCAGAUGAGAAUGUGCAACUAGAGGUUAGCUAAGUUUCUCUCCAUGUCUAAUGAGGCACAAAGUAAGCAAGUGAGUUUGCUAGUUUGCUCUGUUAAAUGUUCCUGUCAUGCUGUGCUGGUGUGAGACUACAGGGAGGGAGAAAAACUGAUUGUGGGGAAUGGCCAAGAGCAAUCUUUGACCUCAUUCUGGACUAUGCCCAUGACAAGUACUGACUAAAGCUUCAGAAGUGAUCCAGGAAGAAUUCCCUUGGCGCUAAUGUGAAACUAGGAUGCCUCCUGCAUUGGACCCUGGCACCAUUGACUGAACUCAUGGAAAUGUUCGAUCCCAAAUAAAGGAAGUCAUAGCAACAACAGCCAUUCAUCUUUCAGCUUUCAACAGCUCCUCAUGUCCUCGUGAUCAUCAUCUGAGUACCAAAACAAUCCAGCUGAGAAAAAGGUAAACAGGACUCUUUCCAUUUUGCAAAUGAAGAAAUGGAAGUGUAGGGACACAGAACACCUAAAUAAAAAUUGUCAUUACUUGUAUCCUUA